rnacentral:rRNA from 1 species
AGGCCAUGGAAAGGCACUACCAUUCCCUGUGACGCCUCGGAUAUGCAGCUCUUCUCUGCCUGCACGCAGAUUUCCAUCGGAAAUGGAGACUGUGCGAGGUUCUGGUCCGAAAGAUGGCUCCAAGGGACCGCUCCUGCUUUGAUCUCCCCGGGACUAUUCAUGCUUGCUCGCCUGGAGAACUUGACGGUCAAGGAGGCAAUGGAAGGGAAUCGCUGGAUGAAGGGCCUGCAACGUGUUGACAGUGAGGAGCUCCUGGACCAAUUCCUUUGUCUCUGGGAGCUGCUUCAGCCAGUCGAUCUGACGACGUCUCCAGACACGAUUUGGUGGUCGUUGACGUCGGAUGGAUGCUACUCGGCCGCCUCUGCUUAUGACAUCCAGUAUGCACCAAGAAUUAGCCAACCUCUCCUCCACACCACAUGGAAGAUUAAGGCUGAACCAAAAGUCAAAUUCUACCUCUGGUUUGCUACUUCAGAACAGGAACUGGACUGCUGA